rnacentral:rRNA from 1 species
UACGUAGGGUGCAAGCGUUGUCCGGAAUUAUUGGGCGUAAAGAGCUCGUAGGCGGUUUGUCGCGUCUGCUGUGAAAACUCAGGGCUUAACCCUGAGCCUGCAGUGGGUACGGGCAGACUAGAGUGUGGUAGGGGAGAUCGGAAUUCCUGGUGUAGCGGUGGAAUGCGCAGAUAUCAGGAGGAACACCGGUGGCGAAGGCGGAUCUCUGGGCCAUAACUGACGCUGAGGAGCGAAAGCGUGGGGAGCGAUCCGG